rnacentral:antisense_RNA from 1 species
CUUGACCGACCCGAGCCACAGCGGGUGGUCCCGGUCCUGGCCGUAGGUCGCGAGCACCGCAUCGGCUUC